UACGUAGGGUGCAAGCGUUAAUCGGAAUUACUGGGCGUAAAGCGUGCGCAGGCGGUUGUGCAAGACAGAUGUGAAAUCCCCGGGCUUAACCUGGGAAUUGCAUUUGUGACUGCACGGCUAGAGUGUGUCAGAGGGGGGUAGAAUUCCACGUUUAGCAGUGAAAUGCGUAGAUAUGUGGAGGAAUACCGAUGGCGAAGGCAGCCCCCUGGGAUAACACUGACGCUCAUGCACGAAAGCGUGGGGAGCAAACAGG
rnacentral:rRNA from 1 species